UGGGGAAUCUUGGACAAUGGGCGCAAGCCUGAUCCAGCCAUGCCGCGUGAGUGAAGAAGGCCUUCGGGUUGUAAAGCUCUUUUACCAGGGACGAUAAUGACGGUACCUGGAGAAUAAGCCCCGGCAAACUUCGUGCCAGCAGCCGCGGUAAUACGAAGGGGGCUAGCGUUGUUCGGAAUUACUGGGCGUAAAGCGCACGUAGGCGGAUUGUUAAGUCAGAGGUGAAAUCCCGGAGCUCAACUUCGGAACUGCCUUUGAUACUGGCAAUCUAGAGUCCGGAAGAGGUUAGUGGAAUUCCCAGUGUAGAGGUGAAAUUCGUAGAUAUUCGGAAGAACACCAGUGGCGAAGGCGACAUACUGGCUCAUUACUGACGCUGAGGCGCGAAAGCGUGGGGAGCAAACAGGAUUAGAUACCCCCGUAGUCCCUGAGCGGGCUGGCAAGGCGCAU
rnacentral:rRNA from 1 species